UAAUCAAUUUAAUAUCUGAUACGUCCCCUACCCGGGGACUUUAUAUUAAAUUGAUGUUUGCAACAGGGAGAUGGAAUUAGGGCUUGAUCUGUCCACUCCAUGCAUCUACCUGAUAUUGCAGUACUUCCAGGAACGGGUUU
rnacentral:snRNA from 1 species